rnacentral:rRNA from 1 species
UACGGGGGGGGCAAGCGUUGUUCGGAAUUACUGGGCGUAAAGGGCUCGUAGGCGGCCAACUAAGUCAGACGUGAAAUCCCUCGGCUUAACCGGGGAACUGCAUCUGAUACUGGAUGGCUUGAGAUUGGGAGAGGGAUGCGGAAUUCCAGGUGUAGCGGUGAAAUGCGUAGAUAUCUGGAGGAACACCGGUGGCGAAGGCGGCAUUCUGGGCAGUUGCUGACGCUGAGGCGCGACAGCGUGGGGAGCAAACAGG